UUACCGUUGCUAUGCCUGUCAAUUAGGUGCACCUGGUAAUCAACAUGGCGUCUUCAGCGACAUCAGUGAGAUAUUCAGACGGAAAUAAUAAGAAAUAUCUGUAAUAAUAGCUCUGAAACAUCAGAGAGAAGUAGACAGAAAGUACUACAAUAUGCGUUUGAGCGCUGUGUUCACUAUAUACUGGAGUAUUGUGACUGAAGAGGACGUUAAAAGCUCACGUGGAGGACAAACAUUUACAGCAACAACACAGUGAGUGAUGAUGUCGUCUGGCAUUUCACCUCUCAAAACCCAAGAACCGUUUUCUCAGUGAGCAGUAUGGAGGUGUUGCUGUACUUCUUGCUGGUCUCGGAGCCCAGAGUGACGAACCGGAGCAGGAACAGAGACAGACUGGAGCACCAGAUCACCAGCUCCCAGUUAUAGUGGCACUCCAGGAACGUUCCGUGGACGUGGAGCAACUGGUGGAAGAGAGGCUAGCACAUUAUUCAAAAUUACCUGGGCACAGCAGAUGAAGACGACGGACAGAGUGAGCAGGAAGGCAGACGACACGAUCACAUCAACUGAACGCUGAGGACCCCGUCUCUGCAAAUGCAACAGUAACAGAGUUACACAGUGAUUGUGGGUCUAUGCGUUCCAUUCACAACAGCAGAUGGAUUUGUAAAUAAAAACUCUGACGAAGCAUUUAAAGUCAACAGUGAGAGGCUGAACUGAUAUCACAGCUACAGUGCAUCUAUAAAAAGGGUGUGAACGUCAUCAGUGAGGUACCUUGAGGUAGGAGCGUAGCGACAGCCACAUCUUGAUGUUCUGAACUUUCUUCAGUCUAAAAUGGGGGACUUCGGACUUCCUGGCUCUGCGGGCUGAAGUCAGGUCCUCUCUGCGACACUGAGCAGGAAGAAGAAGAGCCAUAUAAGGCAAACGCGCACCAGGAAGCUCAGCGUUACCAUGGUGAUGACCAAGGUAUCUGAUCCAGUCCCGCCUCCCAGAGCCACAGACAGCAGCUCAUUGGCUGAGAGCGAGGUCAGCUGAUCGAAGUCACGGUACUGAGCCAGCCUGCAGGAGACGGACAAAGACUGACAUGAGUGAACCAGCCAACAUUGGAAUAUUUGUACUUUUAUAACUGUUAGUGAGCAUUUCCCCCGACUAUUGACAGUUUGUAAUAUGUAGUACCUUAUUAAAUAAAGUACUUUUUAAAUAUUUCUCCAGUC